rnacentral:rRNA from 1 species
CGGGAGGCAGCAGCAGGGAAUCUUCCGCAAUGGGCGAAAGCCUGACGGAGCGAUGCCGCGUGAGGGAUUAAGGUUUUUGGAUUGUAAACCUCUUUUCUUGGGGAAGAGCAAGGACGGUACCCAAGGAAUAAGUGACGGCUAACUACGUGCCAGCAGCCGCGGUAAUACGUAGGUCACGAACGUUGUCCGGAAUUAUUGGGCGUAAAGGGUCCGUAGGCCGUUUGGUCAGUCUCCUGUGAAAUCUCUAGGCUCAACCUAGAGAGGUCGGGAGAUACUGCUAAACUAGAGAUUGUCAGAGGCAAGUGGAAUUCCCGGUGUAGUGGUGAAAUGCGUAGAUAUCGGGAGGAACAUCAAUGGCGAAAGCAGCUUGCUGGGGCAUUUCUGACGCUGAGGGACGAAAGCGUGGGUAGCAAACCGGAUUAGAUACCCGGGUAGUCCACGCCCUAAACGAUGAAUGCUAGGUUUGCGGGGUAUCGACCCCUUGUGAGCCGAAGCUAACGCGAUAAGCAUUCCGCCUGGGGACUACGGCCGCAAGGCUAAAACUCAAAGGAAUUGACGGGGGCCCGCACAAGCAGCGGAGCGUGUGGUUUAAUUCGAUGGUAAGCGAAGAACCUUACCUAGGCUUGACAUGUAAGUUACUGAUCUGAAAAGUGAGGAACCCGCAAGGGAGCUUACACAGGUGUUGCAUGGCUGUUGUCAGCUCGUGCCGUGAGGUGUUGGGUUAAGUCCCGCAACGAGCGCAACCCCUAUUACUAGUUAUUUUCUCUAGUGAGACUGCCCCUAAAAGGGAGGAAGGUGGGGACGACUUCAAGUCAUCAUGACUCUUACGUCUAGGGCUACACACACGCUACAAUGGCCAGUACAGACGGUUGCUAAGCCGCGAGGUGGAGCCAAUCCGAUAAAGCUGGUCUCAGUUGGGAUUGAAGGCUGCAACUCGCCUUCAUGAACGCGGAGUUGCUAGUAAACGCAGGUCAGCACACUGCGUUGAAUACGUUCCCGGGCCUUGUACACACCGCCCGUCACGUCAUGGAAGUUGGUAAUGCUUGAAGUCGCUGGGUGAACCCUUUGGGGCACAGGCGCCGAAAGUAGAACCGAUGACUGGGACGAAGUCGUAACAAGGUAGCUGUACCGGAAGGUGCGGCUG